CAAGUACCAACGGUAACAGGAAGCAAGCUUGCUUCUUUGCUGACGAGUGGCGGACGGGUGAGUAAUGUCUGGGAAACUGCCUGAUGGAGGGGGAUAACUACUGGAAACGGUAGCUAAUACCGCAUAACGUCGCAAGACCAAAGAGGGGGACCUUCGGGCCUCUUGCCAUCGGAUGUGCCCAGAUGGGAUUAGCUAGUAGGUGGGGUAACGGCUCACCUAGGCGACGAUCCCUAGCUGGUCUGAGAGGAUGACCAGCCACACUGGAACUGAGACACGGUCCAGACUCCUACGGGAGGCAGCAGUGGGGAAUAUUGCACAAUGGGCGCAAGCCUGAUGCAGCCAUGCCGCGUGUAUGAAGAAGGCCUUCGGGUUGUAAAGUACUUUCAGCGGGGAGGAAGGGAGUAAAGUUAAUACCUUUGCUCAUUGACGUUACCCGCAGAAGAAGCACCGGCUAACUCCGUGCCAGCAGCCGCGGUAAUACGGAGGGUGCAAGCGUUAAUCGGAAUUACUGGGCGUAAAGCGCACGCAGGCGGUUUGUUAAGUCAGAUGUGAAAUCCCCGGGCUCAACCUGGGAACUGCAUCUGAUACUGGCAAGCUUGAGUCUCGUAGAGGGGGGUAGAAUUCCAGGUGUAGCGGUGAAAUGCGUAGAGAUCUGGAGGAAUACCGGUGGCGAAGGCGGCCCCCUGGACGAAGACUGACGCU
rnacentral:rRNA from 1 species